CAUCCCAAAUUAAACCGACCUAAUCAUAAUUAAUCCACCCCUAUAUAAACACUUCUGUUCAUUCUUAUUCCUCAUUCCUCAUUAGAGUUUCUUCCUUGCAAUAACAUACUUGGAAAACCUAAUUAAUCUUCUUCCUUCUCCGCUUUCUCAAUCUUCUUCCUUCUCCAAUUCCGAUUUAAUGGCUCGUACUAAGCAAACCGCUCGCAAAUCCACCGGUGGCAAGGCUCCAAGGAAGCAACUCGCCACCAAAGCUGCUAGAAAAUCUGCUCCUACUACUGGUGGAGUCAAGAAGCCACAUCGUUAUCGUCCUGGAACCGUUGCUCUUCGUGAGAUUCGUAAAUACCAGAAGAGUACCGAACUUUUGAUCCGUAAGCUUCCUUUCCAGCGUCUUGUUCGUGAGAUUGCUCAAGAUUUCAAGACUGAUCUGCGAUUCCAGAGCCAUGCUGUUCUUGCUCUUCAGGAAGCUGCUGAGGCUUAUUUGGUUGGAUUGUUUGAGGAUACCAAUUUGUGCGCAAUUCAUGCUAAGAGGGUGACGAUCAUGCCGAAAGAUGUUCAACUUGCACGCCGUAUUCGUGGUGAACGCGCUUAGGUUUAAGGAUUUAUAUGGAUAUAUAUUACUAUUUUAGGAUUAUGAUUUAGGGUUUAUUUCAAUUCAAUGUUUUCUUUUAUGCGUUCUAUAGUUUGGAUUCAUAUGAAUUAAAAGAUGUUACUUUACUAACGCUUUCUCUCUGUUAACCUUCCUUUUCUCCUUAAACAGGAACUACAAUUCACGCUUUCAUUUUAUUUUCAUAUAUUCUUUGCCGAUUGAUAACGAAUUAAGUCAUAGGGGGAUCAAACCAUUAAAUCAUUAUAACUUCAACAUCUAUUUGUUGAAGUUGUGAUGUUUAGCAUAAUCAUGCAACAUCAUUCUAACUACACACAUUCAACACAGCUAUAGGGUAAGUUUUGCCAUGUGUCAAUCACACAAUGCUGCAGAAGAAAUCCUAGCUGGACAAGAUCACAAAUACUUUGCUUCUUCUGGCCAUCAGUUUGAAUUUCGUUUCCCCCCUUUCAUCUCUUUGCUAGCUGGGCCAAACUUUUUUACCCAGCCCAGUCCAAUAAGCCCAAGGAUGGCAAACAAACAAAAAAUGGUCAGAACUCAUAAGCAAGCUGUUGUCGUGUUGUCGUUUUCAGCAUGCGAGUGAUUUUCUUCAUUUGGGUAACAAACCUGUUGCUCCUUUCUCUGCUGCAAGCUCCUUUCACUGAUCUAGGUUUCAAAUUCAAAUUUCAAAUCCCCCUCAAAAUGUCUUUUGUGGCAUCUCUAUUUGCACACACAAUCUCUCUCCCUCUUCUACCUUCAUUCAAUACAUGCCAAUCUCUCUGCGUCCAUUUCUCUGCUUCAUCUCCCAGAAUCUAGAUAACAAUUUUUUUCUCUCUUUGUUUUCACUUUGGUACAGAUUAACUUCCAUUAUUAAUGAUUAGUUAAUGUGUUAUUUUCCUCACAGAUUCACACUUCCAUCGCAAUUUUCAGUUUUUAUUGUUUGUUCAGGUUCACAAUUAGAGUUUGAUUGGGCCAAAAGAUUUGUAGACUAUUUGGCUACUUUGGUCCUCUAAAUGCAGUUUUCGUGCCUCAUGAUGAUUAUAUUAGGCCAUGUUAUUCAGUCUCAUGGAACUAAACUCUUAGAUGCAGCAUGCAGCCGCCUCAGUUGUAGAAAAUUUGGGACUGUAUUAUAUUUCAAGAAUCGAUAUACAUUUUGUUUGCAAGCUAAAUUCACCUGAAACUUCUGUUUUAAAGGCUUUGGAUUGCGCAAUCUUGAUAAAUUUGUUUUAUACUUGCAGGCUUUACCCGGUCUGCAGUUGACUUCACUUAACAAAGUUAUUGUCCAGAGCAUGAAUGGGAAGAAAAGACAUGAAAAGCUCCUUUUGCUGUUGUAAGUACAGUUGCAGAGAGUGUGAGAGCUCAUGCCAUUGUUGAUGUUGCUGCUGGUCAGCAAAAUGACAUACCUAUGAUUCCUAAGAUGCUCAGAAAAUAUGAAGUUCAUCUAUUUUGUUUACAAAUUGAGACAAGAAAGUGCAGAUAGUAUAUGGCUCACUACCUUUUGAUCUUGAGGCUGGUCAUAAGAUACUACCAAAUAUAAUUCCCUGGAAUUUUCCCUCAGAGUUAUCCACACUAAUCGAGAAGGAGGUUGCCAAGUCAAUGACCAUAAUAGAAAACAACUCAAACUGGGAAGGGUUAGCUAAUGAAGAGCUUUGCAUAGAAACUGAUUAUUUAGCUAUUCUUGACGACACUUCUGUUGUAUGGCUACUUUGUUCUCAAUUUAGUUAUGUAAACAUCUUGGUUGCUAAUCUGUUGAGGUGUACAAUUUUUUUUCAAUUUUUAGUGCAACUUAUACAGUGGAAUUGUUGACUGGAAAAGAUUAUGUAAGUAUAUUUUAAGGUUGUUUCAAGUCUUUUCCUAAAAGUGAAGUGAAGAAAUUUCAAGUUAUCCCAAUCUAUGGAAACAAUUUUGUAUAGAAGAAAUUGUAGGUUUUAAAAGUGAAAGUUUAUUGACAAAAAACACGAGGAGUGUCCGAUAUGGAUGCUGAAUGGAAUAAAUUUCAAGUUA